rnacentral:rRNA from 1 species
GAUUACCCCGCGAACUUAAGCAUAUCACUAAGCGGAGGAAAAGAAACUAACCAGGAUUCCCCUAGUAACGGCGAGUGAAGAGGGAAUAGCCCAGCACCGAAGCCUGCGGUAGGUUUACUGCUAGGCAAUUUGGUGUUUGGGUCGACUCGCGGGAUUGCCACUCCACUCGAAGUCCAGCACUGAGUAUGGUUCCCUGGAUUUGGCCCAGAGAGGGUGAAAGGCCCGUGCGAGUGGAGGUUCAGACAUGUGAGGCAAUUCACCAGGUCGACCUUCGAGUCGGGGUGUUUUGAAAUGCAGC